rnacentral:pre_miRNA from 1 species
AGUACAAUUGCUGGAUCACAUGGUAAGAGAAUGUUUAGAUUUGUAAGAAACUGCAAACUGAUUUCCAAUGUGGCUGUACCAUUUUGCAUUCCCACCAGCAAU